UACGGAGGGUGCGAGCGUUGUCCGGAAUCACUGGGCGUAAAGGGCGCGUAGGCGGUCUGCUAAGCGUGUGGUGAAAGCUCGGGGCUCAACCCCGAGUCUGCCAUGCGAACUGGUGGACUUGAGCACUGUAGAGGCAGGUGGAAUUCCGGGUGUAGCGGUGGAAUGCGUAGAGAUCCGGAAGAACACCAGUGGCGAAGGCGGCCUGCUGGGCAGUUGCUGACGCUGAGGCGCGAAAGCUAGGGGAGCAAACGGG
rnacentral:rRNA from 1 species